GGAACAUAUUCAAUAGAUAUGGUGCCAGUAUAGGAACAUAUUCAAUAGAUAUGGUGCCAGUAUAGGAACAUAUUCAAUAGAUAUGGUGCCAGUAUA